rnacentral:rRNA from 1 species
AACGAACGCUGGCGGCGUGCCUAACACAUGCAAGUCGAACGGGGAUAAGUAGCUUGCUAUUUAUUCUAGUGGCGCACGGGUGAGUAACGCGUAGAUAAUCUGCCUUAGACUCUGGGAUAACAUCUCGAAAGGGGUGCUAAUACCGGAUAAGCCCACGGGGACGUGAGUUCUUGCGGGAAAAGGGGGCCUCUGCAUAUGCUCUUGAUCUAAGAUGAGUCUGCGUACCAUUAGCUUGUUGGUAGGGUAAUGGCCUACCAAGGCGACGAUGGUUAGCUGGUCUUAGAGGAUGAUCAGCCACCCUGGGACUGAGACACGGCCCAGACUCCUACGGGAGGCAGCAGUUGGGAAUUUUGCGCAAUGGGGGAAACCCUGACGCAGCAACGCCGCGUGAGUGAUGAAGGCUUUCGGGUCGUAAAGCUCUGUCUAGAGGGAAGAAGUGAUUAGUGGUUAAUACCCAUUUUUCUUGACGGUACCUCUGAAGGAAGCACCGGCUAACUCCGUGCCAGCCGCCGCAGUAA